AAAAAAGUGGAGUACGCGGUGGAUCGAUCCACCACCGAACGUGUGGGUUAUAUCUGCAAACAUGACGACGAAUGCCCUUUCAAGUUGCGUGCAGUCCAGGAAGUUGGACUUUGGAGAAUCAUUAAGUUCAUUCCAAACCACACUUGUCGUUCGAAUUUGACUCGCACUGCUCCGAGAAUGGUGCCGUCUAGAGUAGUUGCUGCAUACUUUUCACGAAAAUUAUCGGUGGAGAGGAUUGUUCUAAAGCAUUAGAAAUACAUACCUGAUUCGCCUUCCCCCAUUUACUCACGUCUGUCACCAAUCCCUUCGGUGGAGUCCAAUAAUUGUACAGGCUUUUCACACCAAUACCAACUCCACUCGGCUUUGGUCCGUGGAGUUUUUCAAACUCAGUAUGCAAUACCAGCUAAAUAUGUAAAAAUGAGUUAGAUUCAACAAAAAAUAUUUAAAUUGCUAAACAAAAGAAUAUCAAAGAUUUUUGAUACUUACAUAGAAAUCACAUCCAACAAUUACUGUCGAGUUAUCUUUCACCGCCGAAGAUAUGCUAUUUUUCUUCCUCAAUCUCUCUCUCAUAUAGAUCAAAUACAAAUCAAUGAUCUGCACAGUUAAGCAAUUUAGAAUCUGCACAGUUGAAUUAGAAUGUGCACAGU
rnacentral:lncRNA from 1 species